rnacentral:lncRNA from 1 species
AGAGGUUUCAUGCUAUAAUAAUAAUAAUAAUAAUAACAACGCAAGGGUUAUAAGAAAAGGAAUAAGUGAUUUUCACGCUCACAGUUUCUCCGUUUAUGCAAUUUUUUCCAAUUAGUUUGUUGAUUGAAUGAAAUAAUGAGAGAUUCAACAGACCAAAACAAACAAAAUGAGAGCACGUAAGGAAAAUGGAAAUGCGAAAACUACUGAAAAAAUUUAGUACCUAAUGUCGAUAUAUAGUUCAAAUCAGUCAUUUUCUAGAUAGCAAAUCGACGUUAAAAGUGGUUAUUCUCGUGGCCAAAUGCAAACAAACAAACUUUUUUGUUUGUUAUCCAGACAACCUCACAUCUUACAGUCACGGGUGAUCCUACCAAUAUUCAGUGCACGAUUUAUUUAUAAUUACAGUGGGUGUAGCUAAAUCUAAAGAAUGAUUGAUGCCAAAAAUUAUGAAGCUUAUUCUGUCCCUAGUGAUUGAAUCAAUACAUACACCCACUUACACUUUUAACACAUGCUUUGUCUUCAAAGGCAAAAAAGAAAUUUGGAAAUAGGCUAAAUUGGAUUAAUAGUCUCGUGGUAAUAGGAUAAUCGGAAAAUAGCUCCCGUGAUGAAAAAAAUUCGGAUUUAAACCCUUGUGAAGAAGUCUGUUAGGAUUCAAGCCCAAAAAAUAUGAAUUUUUUCAUCACGGACUUCACCACAAGGGCUAUCUUUUGAUUACCCCUAUCACUACGGGAACCAUUAAUCCACUUUAGCCGUGGAAAUAUUCCAAGACAAAACCCCAAAAGAAUGUUUUAUUUCUGUAACACAAGAAAAGAAUAAAAGCAGAGGUGUUUGAACAUAUAGUACAGAGCAGCCAUCUCUUUCCAGACAAGUUUUGUAGGUUUCCCUUGCUUAACUCAACCACCUGCAUAAACAAAAUCUCAUUCACUAGAGGUUUAAACCAAGACUCACAACAAUCAGUGUAAAACGUCCAAGUUUAUGUACUGUAUCUUUUGCCUCCAGUAAUCUGUAUAUCUAGCACUCCAUCACCUUCAGCCCUCUAAAUACAUGCCUACAGUAAGUCCAUUAAAAAGCCAAAUGUGACGUGUUCGUGAAAGUACAUAAAUGAAUACCAAAUGUUUAUUUUAUUAUACCAUAUGUAACGUCCUCUAAUUUAUUAAACCAAAUGUUUAUUUUACUUUUGUAAAAUUCAAAAUAAAUAGAAUGAAAAAGCUCAAAUUUAAUCUUGUGACUCGAACCUCUUCAAGAGAAAACGAGACGUUAAAAACACAUUAUGGCAGGAGAAAAGGGGGGUGAGGGGAACAAGGGACCCCAGAUGCAAGACUACGUGCUCUUGACUGCUUGAGCUACAACGUUCAUCAUUAAUAUUCGUUAGUAAUGAUUGAUCAUUGUAUUGAAACUAGAAUAAUACUUGAAGCAGCAAGAGAUUUCCAAUGUCGCAAUCAUUUUAAUGAAUAAAGGAGGAGGGGGAGGGCGUCAGGUAGUCGACAGCCGGCACUCCAUGAUCACGUCGAAUCCUUAUG